rnacentral:rRNA from 1 species
GAUGAACGCUGGCGGCGUGCCUAAUACAUGCAAGUAGAACGCUGAAGGAGGAGCUUGCUCUUCUGGAUGAGUUGCGAACGGGUGAGUAACGCGUAGGUAACCUGCCUGGUAGCGGGGGAUAACUAUUGGAAACGAUAGCUAAUACCGCAUGACAACAGUUAUUGCAUGAUAACUGUUUAAAAGGGGCAACUGCUCCACUACCAGAUGGACCUGCGUUGUAUUAGCUAGUUGGUGAGGUAACGGCUCACCAAGGCGACGAUACAUAGCCGACCUGAGAGGGUGAUCGGCCACACUGGGACUGAGACACGGCCCAGACUCCUACGGGAGGCAGCAGUAGGGAAUCUUCGGAAAUGGACGGAAGUCUGACCGAGCAACGCCGCGUGAGUGAAGAAGGUUUUCGGAUCGUAAAGCUCUGUUGUAAGAGAAGAACGAGUGUGAGAGUGGAAAGUUCACACUGUGACGGUAGCUUACCAGAAAGGGACGGCUAACUACGUG